rnacentral:rRNA from 1 species
UACGAAGGGGGCUAGCGUUGCUCGGAAUCACUGGGCGUAAAGCGCACGUAGGCGGAUUGCUAAGUCAGGGGUGAAAUCCUGGAGCUCAACUCCAGAACUGCCUUUGAUACUGGCGGUCUCGAGUCCGGGAGAGGUGAGUGGAACUGCGAGUGUAGAGGUGUAAUUCGUAGAUAUUCGCAAGAACACCAGUGGCGAAGGCGGCUCACUGGCCCGGUACUGACGCUGAGGUGCGAAAGCGUGGGGAGCAAACAGG